GUAGGAUAGAGGCCUACCAUGGUUUCAACGGGUAACGGGGAAUAAGGGUUCGAUUCCGGAGAGGGAGCCUGAGAAACGGCUACCACAUCCAAGGAAGGCAGCAGGCGCGCAAAUUACCCAAUCCCGACACGGGGAGGUAGUGACAAUAAAUAACAAUAUAGGGCUCUCUCGGGUCUUAUAAUUGGAAUGAGUACAAUUUAAAUCCCUUAACGAGGAACAAUUGGAGGGCAAGUCUGGUGCCAGCAGCCGCGGUAAUUCCAGCUCCAAUAGCGUAUAUUAAAGUUGUUGCAGUUAAAAAGCUCGUAGUUGAAUUUCGGGACCAAUAUGUCGGUCGUGCCUCGGUACGCACUGGCUUAUUGGUUUCUCCCUUCUGAAGAACCAUGAUGUCAUUUAUUUGGUGUCGUGGGGAAUCAGGACUGUUACUUUGAAAAAAUUAGAGUGUUUAAAGCAGGCUCACGCUUGAAUACAUUAGCAUGGAAUAAUGAAAUAGGACGUUUGAUUCUAUUUUGUUGGUUUCUAGGAUCGACGUAAUGAUUAAUAGGGAUAGUUGGGGGCAUUAGUAUUCAAUUGUCAGAGGUGAAAUUCUUGGAUUUAUUGAAGACUAACUACUGCGAAAGCAUUUGCCAAGGAUGUUUUCAUUAAUCAAGAACGAAAGUUAGGGGAUCGAAGACGAUCAGAUACCGUCGUAGUCUUAACCAUAAACUAUGCCGACCAGGGAUCGGAUGAUGUUAAUUUUUUAAUGACUCAUUCGGCGCCUUACGGGAAACCAAAGUGUUUGGGUUC
rnacentral:rRNA from 1 species